ACCCCCCACUUUUUCUUCCAAAACCCUAAUUAAGCCAGGACCAAUGGACGUUGCUUCUCCUUCAAUCACUGUUCCAAUUCUCAGUCUCACCGACAUCAGUGCUCUGUAAGCUUCUCUAAUUUACCUUCAGUUGGAAAAAAAAUUCAUACUGCAACAAUUAUGCUUAGUUUUCUCCAUAGGAUUAGAAAUUCCAACAAACUCUUGUUUCAUUAUAAACAAGGAUCAAACCCAUCAACAGCCCAUCUCAGAUUCAUCUCAAAAGUCCCAGCAAAACCAAGAAAUGAUCAAUCUUCAUUGACAAUCUCUUACCUCACUAACUCGUGUGGCCUCUCUCCUCAAUCUGCCCUCUCUGUUGCCAAAAAAAUCCAGCUCAAAACCACUAAGAAUGCUGAUUCAGUCCUAAAUCUCCUCAAAUCCCACAGUUUCACAGAUACCCAGAUCACAAAACUCAUCACCAAGAGCCCAGCCCUUCUCCUAUCCAAUGUUGAGAAUACCCUAAAGCCAAAAAUCGAUUUUUUCACAGAUACUGGUUUCUCUUCCUCUGAAUUUGCAAGCCUUGCUUGCUGUGACCCAAUUAUAUUCAGGUCAAACUUACAAAAUAGAAUCAAGCCCAAUUUUGAGCUUAUCAACUCAAUUCUUGGCGACAACAAGAAGUUACUUGUUGCUUUCCGCCGAUCUUCUCGUUUGUUUAGCAACGAUCUCGAGACCAAUUUCUUGCCCAAUGUCAGAACCCUUCAAUCAUACGGAGUCCCUACUACCAACAUUGCCAAGUUAAUCACCCUUUACCCGAGGGUUCUAACGAACGAAACCAAGCAGUUUGCUACAACUGUUGAAUCCAUAAAGAAAUUUGGGUUCAACCCGUUAACGUGCCUCUUUGUUCAAGCAGUUUACGUGGUGUCAGCAACCACCCCCUUGACAUGGGAGAGUAAGUCAGCAGUGUACAAGAGUUUGGGAUGGUCAGAAGGAGAGAUCAUCUCAGCAUUCACCAAGCAACCGUUUUGCUUGCUUCUGUCGGAGAAGAAAAUCAGGAAAAUGGUAGAUUUCUAUGUCAAGAAACUUCAUUGGGAGCCGUGUUUUCUCGCUGCAAAUCCUAAGUUUCUUGGUUAUAGUUUGGAGAAAAGGGUCCUCCCUAGGUGUUGUGUUCUUAGUGUUUUGUCGUCGAAGAGUUUGAUAAGGAGAUAUCCUCAUGUGAACCAUAGAGACUUGUCGAUAAAUGAGUGCAAGUUCUAUAAUAAGUAUGUGGGUAAGUAUAUGGAUCAAGUCCCUGAGGUGAUUGAGGCUUACAAGAGUAAUUUAGAGUUCGUGGAAUUUGAUGUUUUAUGUUAGAGUAUGCUUCUUUAUUAUAUCUCUCGGCUUCUUGGUAGAGUCCAAAUUCUUUCUUCUGUGGAUAGCUCGAUGAUACUGGAGGAUACUUCACAAAUUGCCUUGGGCUUCAUACAGGCUUCAGAAGAAGUUUUUUGUUCACUCGAAGGAUUUAAAAGCAUUCACUUUAUCCUGUUAUGCUUGGAUGGAUAAAUCUUAUUUUUUUCAAAUAUGCAAGUAAAGUUUUAAGAAAUUUUUCUGGAACUUUUAGCAUCAAUUAAUUGUUGAGUAUGAAAUAUGAUGCGAGCGCUGCACUCUCAUGAGCAUGUUUUUGGCUAAACGUGAAGUGCUACAGGCUUUCAAGUACAUGUUGAUAGUUGAAGAUCAAACAAUAAAUCAGUUGGCUUUUUUGUUGCACAUUGAUUGUCUUAUCAGUUUAUGUGAUAAUUUUUCCAAUUACAAAACGACACUAUAAUAAUUUACACGCACUUGACAACAAGCUUGUAUGAACUUAUAUGAGCUGGUAAAGGCAUUAAUAAAUCAUAUUGCUGCUCACUUCUGAAUAAGAAACUUGUUGACAUUAGUCUUCAAGUCUUUCAUGUUUUGAAAUUAGUCCCCUCAAAUCAUUGAAAUUGCUGUUAGGUCCUUGAAUUCUUAAGUUAUUUUUGUAAGUCCGUCAAACCCUUGGAAUUGCUAUUAGGUCCCCCAAUUCUUAAAACUUGUUAGAAAUUUAUCUUUCCAAUUGUUGCUUCUACUAUUGGUUGGAGGGAAUAAUCUGAAACAAUUUAUCAGAUUUGGAGGAGCUAAGAACAAAUCAAAUGGUUUUAGGGACUAACAUUAAAACUUAAGAAUGGGGGGACUUGAUAGCAAUUUUUGUGAUUUAUAUGGAUUAAUUUUCAAAAUAUUAAAGAUUCAAGGGAUGCAUCAAAAACCCUUAAAAAUUACGGAAGAAGAUAAUUAUGAAUUAAAAUCUCGGGGGUUUGAUUUGGAAUUUUCACAAAAUUAAUAACUUUGAUCUCAUAGAUGCCUCAUCUGAUACACUUCAUAAUCAUCUAAAAUGUUGUUUAUAUAUAGUUCACGUGAAAUAGAUCUCAUCUAGUGGUAUAAGAUUAUAAAAGUUCUAUUCUCAUAAUCUCAUUUCAGUUUGAAUCUUUUAUCACUUUGGUACGUUUUUUUAACAUUUGUAUACCCCAAAGUUUCAACUUUAUAUCACUUUGAUAACCCCAACAAGAGAUCAUUAUAUUUUCUUUUAAAUUUUAAGUUGUGCUUAGCAAUGGGGUAAAGUAAAUCUAAAUGUAUCACAUGCUAAAGACACGACGCAAACUUUAACAGAAAAUCUAAGACUAGGUAUCAAAAGUGAAGGGAAAUUUGAAACCUCGAAGUAUCAGAAUGUUGAAAUGUACUUCCAUGUAUCAAAGUGAAACGUUGGAUUCAAAGUUUGAGGUAUCGAAGUGUUAAAACAAUACUUUAGGGUAUCAAAGUGAAAAUGAAGGUAAACUUUUUGGUACCAAAGUGGGAGUAAGCUGGAAGAAAUAAAAUGAAUGUGGCCUCUCAAAAAAAAACCCUCCCUUAGCUCCAAAAGCCAGGUGCCGUAGACGUUGCUUCUCCUUCAACUGAUGCUCCUCUUCUCAGUCUCAGCGACCUCAAUGCUUUGCCUAGCUUGGUCGCACCCAAUUUUACUCAGGACAAGCGCACGAAACGAACUCAAGCCCAAUUUUGAGGUGCUCAGCUCUAUGACUAGCAAUGACAAGAGCUUAUGGCGUCCCUCGUUCAAAAAGUGCCAAGUUAGUCACCCUUUUUCUAACAAAUGAUAACCAAGAAGUUCGCUACAGCAGUUGAAUCCGUUAAGAAACUCGGGGUUCGACCCGUUAACGUGCCUCUUUCUUCGAGCAGUUUACGUGGUGUCAGCAACCACCCCCUUGACAUGGGAGAGUAAGUCAGACAUGUACAAGAGUUCGGGAUGGUCAGAAGGAGAGAUCAUCUCAGCCUUCACCAAGCAAAACAGUUUGCAUGUUUCUGCCAGAUAAGAAGAUCAGGCAGAUGAUAGAUUUCUAUGUCAAGAGACUUCGCUGGGAGUCGUGUUUUCUGGUCGCAAACCCUGAGUUUCUUGGACUUAGUUUGGAGAAGAGGAACCUCCGGUGGUGUUGUGUUCUUAGCAUUGUUAUCAUCGAAGAGUUUGAUAAGGAGAUAUCCAUGUGUGAACAAUCGAGAUUUGUCAACGACUGAGAGCAAGUUCUGUAAUGAGUAUGUGGCCAAGUAUAUGGAUCAAGUCCCUGAGGUGAUUGAGGCUUACAUUAGAAUUCGUGGAAUUUGAGGGUGGACCAUCAAUUGUGCAAGACUCAUAGUUAAGUAGAGUCCAGACUCUUUCAUCCUUUGCUGGUUUGAUGUAUAGGACUUCAUACUGGAGGAUACUUCACGCAUUGCCUUCGGCUUCAGAAAGGUAACCUUAUUUGAAGUUGGUGAAUGAUUAUAAUAGUGUCCUACAAUUCAAGUCUAAGUUUGUUUUAGGUGAACGAAUAAGUGUUUUGAUGUGGCAUCACUUCUAACUUAUUUAUUUAGAUGAAGUUGAAUUGGAAUUGAGAUAUAUGAUUAUGCGGCUUAUUACAAUACCUUUCACUUGUAAAAUUGGUCCUGUUAAUUUUUAUG